AUUGAACGCUGGCGGGAUGCUUUACACAUGCAAGUCGAACGGCAGCGCGGACUUCGGUCUGGCGGCGCGUGGCGAACGGGGGAGGAAUGUAUCGGAACGUGCCCAGUAGCGGGGGAUAACUACGCGUAAGCGAAACUAAUACCGCAUACGCCCUACGGGGGAAAGCAGGGGAUCGUAAGACUUUGCACUAUUGGAGCGGCCGAUAUCGGAUUAGCUAGUUGGUGUGGUAACGGCUCACCAAGGCGACGAUCCGUAGCUGGUUUGAGAGGACGACCAGCCACACUGGAACUGAGACACGGCCCAGACUCCUACGGGAGGCAGCAGUGGGGAAUUUUGCACAAUGGGGGCAACCCUGAUCCAGCCAUCCCGCGUGUGUGAUGAAGGCCUUCGGGUUGUAAAGCACUUUUGGCAGGAAAGAAACGUCGCGGGCUAAUACCCCGUGGAACUGACGGUACCUGCAGAAUAAGCACCGGCUAACUACGUG
rnacentral:rRNA from 1 species